AUAAGACAGGAGCUGGAUAGGAAGUGGAGCAGCUAAGGUAUGAACUGGCAUCCAUACGGGAUCCUGGCACCUGAAGGGGGAGAAUUAGGUAAUUGAUCAUUGCACCAGGCCUCAAAUGGAGAUUUUAUAAACCUCCAAAGAGGAGUAAAUAAGAAAAGGCAUAAACUGCCAAACAUCCCGCCAAACUAAUGGAUAUAGCAGUGCAGUUGUCUAGAUGUGGUUUGUUUCCCAAAGAUUCAGAUGUGAAAAGCUGAGUCUCCAUGGGUGGUAUUCAGGUGGUGGAUCCUCUAGGAGGUGAGGCCUAGUGGAAGAACAUUAGGUUAUGAAGGUGCUUUGCUUACCUUUCUGAAUGAAUUUGAGGUGACUUGCAGGAUUGGGCUAGCUCUGGUAGGAGUGCAUGUAUUCUAUAAGAGCAGGCUGUUACCAAUAGCUUGAGUGUGCGGCCUCCCUGGUCUCUUGCUUUGUUACCGUUAUGCAUGUUCUUUUUGCAGGUGGCUGGUGUACUUCUCCACCAUGAGGUGAUGCAGCCAGGAUGCCGGCAGCAGGGUGUUAGGAACUUCAACCUGGCAGACUUAUAUUUCCCACCCAUGAUUGGUUGAAUCAGUAGCUAUGGACACCCUGAGUCUGGACCUUGACCAUCUCUGCCCCACCCUUGGGCCUGGGAGAGAAUGUCUAUCACCUCUAAACCCAAACUGAUCAUCUCUGAAGUGUCUUCUAGUAUAACGGU